GUCUUUGUAGUUGGUCUGGUGUCACUGGAAUCCCACCAAGUGAUGUCGCUGUCUUGUACUUCUUGGUCUGUGCAGUCCUGAGGUUCACCAGUGGGUGCUGCUGUCUGGAGUAAUGGAUUGUACCUGCGAGAGGUUAAUCUUAUUGAUGCAUGAUGGUCACCUGACUCAGCAGCUGUUAUAAAUGACCACUGAGACAAUGUUAGUGCUGUCUGAAGGCGUGGCCUGUUACCGAUUCUUUUUACCUUGGACUUAUAGUCAAGUAUACCCCGUCUUGUACCCCAGUGUAGCUAUACUUUCUUCAGAUGUCCAUGCAACUUAUAAGUGUAGCUAUACUUUCUUCAGAUGUCCAUGCAACUUAUAAGCGUACUUCCACCCCAAGGUGUGCUAUUCCUACAGCGUGUACCUCCACUGAUUGCACACCCUGCCAGAAGCAACCUACUUAGUGCACCCAGGACGGUUGCCUCGGAUAGUUCCACCACAGG